CUACUCUUUACGAGCUGGGAUAAAGUACGAAUCGUAGCUAAUCCGGUAUCCUUCUUCAUGAGGAAGAGAUGAAAUGCUGAGCCAAUCUGGCUACCUGAGGGAUGGCCUGCCGAGCAUUAGCUAGUUGUGAGGUUACCGCUCACAAGCGACGAUGCGUAGCGACUGAGAGGGUGACACACACCUGGGACUGAGACACGGCCCAGACUCUACGGGAGGCAGCAGUAGGGAAUCUCGCAAUGGGCGAAAGCCUGACGGAGCAACGCCGCGUGAGUGAUGAAGGUUUUCGGAUCGUAAAGCUCUGUUGCCAGGGAAGAACGUCCGGUAGAGUAACUGCUACCGGAGUGACGGUACGUGAGAAGAAAGCCCCGGCUAACUACGUGCCAGCAGCCGCGGUAAUACGUAGGGGGCAAGCGUUGUCCGGAAUUAUUGGGCGUAAAGCGCGCGCACGCGGCUAUUUAAGUCUGGUGUUUAAACCUUGGGCUCAACCUGAGGUCGCACUGGAAACUGGGUGGCUUGAGUACACAAAAGAAAAGUGGAAUUCCACGUGUAGCGGUGAAAUGCGUAGAUAUGUGGAGGAACACCACUGGCGAAAGCGACUUUCUGGGCUGUAACUGACACUGAGGCGCGAAAGCGUGGGGAGCAAACACGAUUAGAUACCCUGGUAGUCCACGCCGUAAACGAUGAGUGCGAGGUGUGAGGGGUUUCGAUACCCUUGGUGCCCAAGUUAACACACUAAGCACUCCGCCUGGGGAGUACAGUCGCAAGACUGAAACUCAAAGGAAUUGACGGGGACCCGCACAAGCACUGGAGUAUGUGGUUUAAUUCGAAGCAACGCGAAGAACCUUACCACGUCUUGACAUCCGGAUGAAAACAUUAGAGAUAGUGCCCCUCUUCGCACAUCAGACAGAUGGUGCAUGGUUGUCGUCACUCUGUCUGAGAUGUUGGGUUAAUCCCGCAACAACCGCAACCCUUGACUUUAGUUGCCACCAGGUAAGGCUGGGCACUCUAGAUGACUGCCGGUGACAAACCGCAGAAAGGUGGGAUGAAGUCAAAUAUCAUGCCCAUUAAACUGGGCUACACCGUACUACAUGGCCGGUACAACGGGAACGAAACCAAGAGGUGGAGCCAAUCCCAGCAAAGCCGGUCUCAGUUCGGAUUGCAGGCUGCAACUCGCCUGCAUGAAGUCGGAAUUGCUAGUAAUCGCGGAUCAGCAUGCC
rnacentral:rRNA from 1 species